rnacentral:rRNA from 1 species
GACGAACGCUGGCGGCGUGCUUAACACAUGCAAGUCGAACGGAAAGGCCUCUUUCGGGGGGUACUCGAGUGGCGAACGGGUGAGUAACACGUGAGUAACCUGCCCUUGACUUUGGGAUAACUUCAGGAAACUGGGGCUAAUACCGGAUAGGAGCUCCUGCUGCAUGGUGGGGGUUGGAAAGUUUCGGCGGUUGGGGAUGGACUCGCGGCUUAUCAGCUUGUUGGUGGGGUAGUGGCUUACCAAGGCUUUGACGGGUAGCCGGCCUGAGAGGGUGACCGGCCACAUUGGGACUGCGAUACGGCCCAGACUCCUACGGGAGGCAGCAGUGGGGAAUAUUGCACAAUGGGUGGGAGCCUGAUGCAGCAACGCCGUGUGCGGGAUGACGGCCUUCGGGUUGUAAACCGCUUUCGCUCAUGACGAAGCUUUGUGUGACGGUAGUGGGUAAAGAAGCACCGGCUAACUACGUG